UUGAGGCAAGUACAGAGUUUUUCUGCUUUUUUUCAAAGUUACAGCACUGAAUAUUUGCUGCUUACAGUGAGUCUGUCUAAUUGAAAAUGUGGGGUGAUGCACGGAGGACAGGUGACCACAAAAAAUGCUGCUGCUGACAUCAGGUCUUUGCUCCCUUACUCACUGAGUUCUUGUUUUGAAGGAUUUAUAUCUGUGCUUGUAUCAAUGCUUCCCGUGGUUUUGAAAGGUUCUUGGCUGUUGCUGAGAAAGGUUUGACUCAUCAAGGACUUCAUCUAAUUGACUGACUACAAGGGGGCUUGUCCCUACUAUGAAACCACCACGAUAGUGGUGAUCACCCCUGCCAGUUAUCUUUCCUUGGGAGAGAGGCAGAUGGAAGAAAUACCAGGCAUGUUUCACCCUUGCUGUGACUCUACCGGCUUUCAGUGGGGUGGCUUUGGGAAGACUUUCCUCUGGGAGCCAGAAAUGUUGGAUUUUUACAGAAAGGAGCAGAUGGUGCCAAUCCUUGUGUAACUUAUGUUAUUUUACCUCCCUUGAAAUGAAGGAAGAAGCUGAGCUCUGAACACAUUUCUGAUGUCUCCCGUUCUCCGUACUGACCUGACUGCCACGUGUUGAUAGGCCUCAGUGUAAAUAUCUGGACUGAGAAAAUCUGACUUGUUCUUGGCUGGACACUUCCCAGGUUUCACUGCAGCCAGAUAAGUGACAGAUGGUGGAACAGGCUGGCCAGCGCUGGCUGCCAUGAAGCACUUAAUCAGGAACCUGGGAAGAGAGCAAAGUCAGAGCAGGGUAUGGUGGUGAUCUGCACACAGCAAAUAGUCAUGCAAAAAGUGUAAAGCAGGAGCAGGUAUGGAGCAGCAAGGUGCUGCAGUGGUCCAGAACGGACUUGAACAAGUAAUGACCUUUUGUUUUGCCUGUUACUCGCAGUAACCUGAUCUGUGGUGGCUCUCAGGGGUAGCCUAUCUACUGUAUUUAAUGCUGCAGCAGCCUGUAGUGAUGGGUUUUUCAGCAGAAACUUGCUGUGGCUUUUAGCAGUCUCAGCGGUGUGGUGAUUAGAUACAUUAUCAACUUUGCAACCUGAGUCUUAAUGCUCUGGGAAUCUUAGUAGUGGUUUGGUCUUACCCUCUGUGAUCCCCAACAUACAGUCACAUUAUGUUAACAAACACGAGACCCUUUCUUGGAGAUUGUGUACAAGGAGAAUUCUCCACUCCCUUAUUUUUUAGCACCUCUGCUAUGAGCUAGACUGACCAGGUCUGGCAUUAAAAAGUUACAGCAUUUCUCUUGACCUUGCUGUUGAUCUUGCUUCUUGAAGAAGCAGUAAUGAGCCCAGAAGUGUCUGCAUGCAAGCACAGAGCUACAUGGUUGCUCUGUCUCUGGGAAGUGCACUGCUUUUCUCCUUCUAGUAAAAACACACAUUAUUAAAAGUUCAAGCAGCUGUAGUUUUUUUCCUGUAUUUCAUGCGCUCUGGAUAAUCAUCAGUCUGCGUGUUCAGAGGAAAGUGGUGUUCUUGGAGCAUGACUCAUCCACUUUCAGUAUCCAACAACUUUGUUUUCUCUGAAUCUCACUUAACCAAUACUGUGUUCUGGCCUCACUUUUACCAAUGUUGUGUUACAUUGUACCAUUGUUACAAUGGUUGCUUAAAAAAUAAACCACAAAACUUGUAUAGCAAUGUAUUUGCUGUGCUAGGAGGCAAAGAGGAAAAUGAGGUUAUGCAGAGCAGCACCUGCAUACGUCCCCAAACCAAAAAUAGAAGAGAUAAUCCAAUUCCCACACACCUCCAUGCCUGUUAGACAGAAGACAUGAAUAGUUUAUGUCCUGAGCUGUAUUUUUAGAAGGUGCUGUGAGAAAGGAGUAGCUGGUUUUACUGGUUUUGGAGAAGAAGUGGUAGAGGCUGAAUAAACGAGGGCACAGGCUUUUAGAUGAACACAUUUGAAUUGUUACCUGGCAGUUUGCAGGAGCAAGAUGGUGUUUUCCCCUUCAUAAAUACAAGAGGCAAGUAUUUUGGUAUACAAGGAAGGGAGUCCACUCAGCAGGGAGUAGCCAUGUCCCCCACAGGCCCGGAGGCAGAUCUCCACUGCUGCAGUGCUGUGGUGAGUGAUCACGGCUUUAAAGCCCGAAGACAAUGCAUGAAGCUGUUAAAAAAAAAGGGAAAAAACCAAAAGCAAAGUGUUACUGGUGUAAGUGUUCUAAAACAAUCCUCAGAAUAAAUGUCCUUUUUUUAAUCUUG